CAGCAGCCGCGGUAAUACGAAGGGGGCUAGCGUUGCUCGGAAUGACUGGGCGUAAAGGGCGCGUAGGCGGCGGCCAAAGUCAGACGUGAAAUUCCUGGGCUCAACCUGGGGGCUGCGUUUGAUACUUGGUUGCUUGAGUGGGGAAGAGGGUCGUGGAAUUCCCAGUGUAGAGGUGAAAUUCGUAGAUAUUGGGAAGAACACCGGUGGCGAAGGCGGCGACCUGGUCCUUGACUGACGCUGAGGCGCGAAAGCGUGGGGAGCAAACAGGAUUAGAUACCCCCGUAGUCCCUGUCUCUUAUAA
rnacentral:rRNA from 1 species